rnacentral:rRNA from 1 species
AACAAGUUAAAACUUUCAACAACGGAUCUCUUGGUUCUGGCAUCGAUGAAGAACGCAGCGAAAUGCGAUAAGUAAUGUGAAUUGCAGAAUUCAGUGAAUCAUCGAAUCUUUGAACGCACAUUGCGCCCGGCAGUAAUCUGCCGGGCAUGCCUGUCCGAGCGUCAUU